rnacentral:rRNA from 1 species
UACGAAGGGGGCUAGCGUUGCUCGGAAUUACUGGGCGUAAAGCGCGCGCAGGCGGUCUUCCAAGUCAGUGGUGAAAGCCCGGAGCUCAACUCCGGAACUGCCAUUGAAACUGUUGGACUUGAGUAUGAGAGAGGUGAGUGGAAUUCCCAGUGUAGAGGUGAAAUUCGUAGAUAUUGGGAAGAACACCGGUGGCGAAGGCGGCUCACUGGCUCAUUACUGACGCUCAGGCGCGACAGCGUGGGGAUCAAACAGG